CUGGCACCACCAUUGUUGCGCCACCUCUAAAUUGGUAAAUUAAGUCGGGGAUUUUUAUGGAUUUCUGGCCUGUAAAAUUAUAACAAGGUGUGACACCGAUCUCGGCUUCUGCCUCAAGAGAUCUCCUAUACUUGGACAUCCGCUUUUUCAACUCAUUUGUCACUUUCUUAAAAACCGGUCCUGUCAUGUAUCCGUACGCGAAACCAGAAUCUAUCAUGAGACCACCUCGGCCGUCAGAUCCUGGAGCCAGAUACUUGCUUGGAAUCCUGAGGAGCUUGUUCCCGAUCUUGAUAUCUUUGACACCCAAGUAAUAGUAAAUCGGGAAGUCAGGAGGGUUCUUGAGAAAGGGAGCGUAGGAAAGUCCUUUGGUUUCGCCGUCACUGUAGUCCAAAAUCAACUUGCUGCUGUUCCGGGUGUCAUCAUAGUCGUGAGAAUUGAGACAGUAAGCAAACUUCUUCACACCCAUCUGCAUCGGUAAUGAGAACAUUGAGCGACCGAACCCCGCAAGUGCGGCAGAAGUAACUUCACCAACAGCGGAUGUUGUACACCCAACAAGAAAUUCGUGAAUUGUCUUCCCGGGAAAGUUUAGGUUUUCUAAAAGAAAAUCUCCAGAUGAUGCUCCUGUGCCAUACUGAAGACUGUAGGGUGGGCAAGCGUGCGAGCAAUUUUUGGAAUUGCCAUUGCAGGGGGGGCACCCAAGGUGAACAUCUGGGGAAGAAGUGUUUACACAUUUGGGAUUUCUGCACCCCAAGAUCUUAGAAGAUGACGAAAGUUUGGGAUUGAAGAUUGGGACCUUUUUGGGUUCGGCAUCUGAAAAAGAACAGUUAGUGCAUGUAUAGUGAGUUGUACACGGGGCCCAUACUACAUGACUUCCUGUGUCCACCAGGAAGGAGAGUUUUUGUGGAGGAGUGCCGAAGCUGAGAGGGAUGCUAUGACCUCCAUAACUAUGAGGAGAAAGAGAGAUUUGUGUGAGAGGGCUGGUCUUACCAUGUUUCAAAUGAUGGGCUCUGGACAAGGAUGCAGUGGCAAGGUGUUGGAGAAACCGCAAGGGUUUGGUAGAUGGGCUGUUUGUAAAUGUUGAUGUUAGAGGGAUGGUAAUGGUGGCAGGCGUGUUAUCUUUGGAGGAAGAUGCCAAGAGAAGGAGAGAGAAGAGAGUAAAGACAGAGAAAAGCAAAGAAGUAGAAGAAGUCAUGGCUUCAGAAGUGCACACUAGUGAAAGUGGUAGAGAAAAUCGUUUAUAUAGACAAUGACAUGCGUGGUUUAUAUGCAAUAAUUUUAAAAUCCAUUGUCAAUUUUUUAUGGGAAAUUCCAAGCGCAGGGAAACAAAUGGGGAUUUGUCUUAUAAAAACUUUAUUAAAAAGAUUGUUUGUAAAAUAGAUACAAAAUAUAUAAAUUUUUUUUUCUUGUGACUUUGAACGUUAUCUUGUCCUACUCAUCUUACUUUCAUACUAAACCCUGGAAUUCACUUUCAAUACUGAAUUCCAUAUUUUUAAAGGAAUAAAUUGUUUUUUACAUUGAAAGUUUUAAAAUUGAAUUUAUUUUUUCAAGAAGAUGAGUUUAAUGUUAUUUUUGAGAUUAUUUUUUUAUAGGACCUUUUUUUUUCGAAAGAAAGUAUUAUAAUUAUGCAAAAAGCCAAACGAAUGGAUAAUAAAACAAUGGAGCAACACCACUUAGUAUUGGAAGAGUGCAUCAGUUGUAAUGUUCUCCAUACCAUACUAAAAAAAAUAAGAACAUAUUAUUUCUAAAUUUGUUGGUCAAGAAAGCAGCAGAAGCUAACAGGCCCCACUGGGCCAAGUUUACCCCUUAAAUUUAUUGAGUGGAUUAAGGAGGGCGGAUUAGUCUUCAAUUCUCAUUUUGGUUUCUCCCUUCAAUCCUUCCUUCUUUUGUUUUUAAUUGUUAUGAACUUGUCCUAGUUCGAUCCAUCCGAACUCCACCUUCCCCUUGUGAUAUCAAAUAUCCUUUGACCGGAAAGAGUCUAGGGUCAAUAUGAAAUGGAUUUGAUUGACCAAAGACUUUAUUGCCUCGUCCUUGCGGAGACAAACACACUUGAGAAACAAAAACAUAUAGGACGGGGAUCCGGCUAGUAGGAAUUGAAAUCAUCGAUGAGAUAUUUGUCUUCUUCCUUUUGUUAUGUUUCUCUCUUCAAUCUUUUUAAAUACCAUGUAUUGUGUGUGUGUGGGACUGCAGCUGCAAAUAAUGUAGUUUACUGCUCGUUUUGUAUCUAUCUAUGUUUUCUUUGUGAGGAGACUCUAGCCUGCUGCGUAAACUCCCCUCUAACCUUACAAAAAUAAAAUAAAAUAUGAUGUGUUUUAAUAAAAAAGAAAGUUAAUUGGAUUAUGUUAGUACCUCAGCACAUUGACAUCAAGUCUCAUAUGGUAAUAACUUACACUCAUGAGAUAUGCGUAGCUCGUCUUGUAAAAAAAUCAAGUAUGAGACUUCUGGCGGUUGAUAUUUUUUUUCAAAGAUGAUGCAUUGAGAAAAGGUUCUUAGCGGUGGGAAAAUUAGGGGAAUGUUUUUUAAAAAUAGUUAUGAAAAACAUUUUUUUAAAAUAUUUUUUUAAAAUUGUUCUUUAAUAUUUUAUAGACUAAAGUAGUGUUUGUUUUUUUGACUUUUUGCUGAAAGUAAUUUAGGUGGUGUUUGUUUUUUUACUUGAUUAUAAAUAGAACCUUAAUACUUAAUAGUAUUAAAUAUUAGGUUGUUUGUUUUUGUAAUAUUUUAUUUCUAUUAGGUAUUAAAAAGUAAAAAAAAACUAUUGGUGUUAUUUUCUCUCAUUACAAAAAAGCCCNNNNNNNNNNNNNNNNNNNNNNNNNNNNNNNNNNNNNNNNNNNNNNNNNNNNNNNNNNNNNNNNNNNNNNNNNNNNNNNNNNNNNNNNNNNNNNNNNNNNCAUAUUUUGGUUUUUUGUAUGUAGUAAAAAGUUUAUAAUAAGGCAUGAAAAAGUAAAAUAAGCAAUUUACCUAAAUUCUAAAACUAAAUGGUUUUAAGCAAAAAGCCAAAAAAACAAACACCACUUUAGUUUUAAAAUUUAGGUUGUUUGUUUUUUUAUUUUUUCAUGAUUUAUUAUAAACUUUUUACUAAAUAGAAAAAGCCAAAAUAUGUAGUUUUUUCUAAAUAGAAAAAAUAACAUAUUAGUUUUUUUUACUUUUUAAUACUUAAUAGAAAUAAAAUACUACAAAAACAAACAACCUAAUAUUUAACACUAUUAAACAUUAAAGUUCUAUUUAGAAUUAGGUAAAAAAACAAACACCACCAAAAUUUGUAGCUUUUUCUAAAUAAAAAAAAUAACAUAUUGGUUUUUCUUUACUUUUUAAUACUUAAUAAAAAUAAAAUACUACAAAAACAAACAACUUAAUAUUUAACACUAUUAAGCAUUAAGGUUCUAUUUAUAAUUAAGUAAAAAAACAAACACCACAUAAUGUCAACUUAAAAACUUGAAAUUUUUUUAAUAUGUUUUUAAAAAUAAUUUUUAUAUCUAGUAUUUUAUUUUUAAUCAUUCUUUAUGUUAAUAUAAUUAUUCUUUAAAAAAACCUUAAAAAACAAGUGAUAAUAACUAAAAAAUGUUAUUUAGAAAUAUUAUAUUUUUUAUUUUUAAGAAUAGAAAACAGAAAAUGAUUAUCUGAUUGUGUGGACUCAUAUUUUUCUUGUGCAUUUUCACUUGAUGACAAGACUUGUUUUUAUUGUAAAAAAAAUAUUUUUUUGAAAAUCAGAUUCGAUACCUAUUUUGUUUAUUUUUAAAAGAGAAUAAAAUAAGAAAAAAAAUCAUAUUAUAACUCAUUUUUAAAGGAAAAGACAUAUUUGCGAAAAAACCAAAUCCAAAUCUAGGAGUCGGGUUCCUUAGUGAGAAAAUAUCAUGAGGUGAUAUCCCUUUAAAGCCUAAAAAUCUCUCUACUAAGCAAGUUAGGAGAAUUGUGAUAAUUAAUUAAUCAUAAAUACAAAAAAAAAAUGUCACAAAUAUAUACAUGUCAAUGACAAAAACAUAUUAUAAGAAUACACAAUUAAUAACAAAGGAAAUGCAUAAAGUGAUUUAUUAAAUUGAUUAAAAAGUUAUUUGAUUAUUUUAAAUAUUAUAACAUUUUUUAAAAAUUUCAAAAAGAAUUUAUUUAUAUUAAAAACAAUUUCAAAUUAAUAAUUUCAAUUUAUUUAUUUACAAACAAAGUUUUAACUUAUUUAUAACAAAUUAUUUGAUUCAAUUUUAUUUUUGUAUUCAAGUUUUAUUUUCAAGAAAGUUAAUUAUUCAGAAUUCAAAUGUAAUCAUUUCACUACAAGAUCCUCUUCAUAGUUUUAUUGCACUUAAUUAUACUAUUAUACAAUGAAUAAUGGAAAAUUGAAUCUCAAUUUGUACAUUGAUUUCAUUUUUUAAUUACUUUCAACAAAUAUUUUUUUAGACUUAAAAUCUUCAUUUAUUUCUCAUUUUUAUUAAUUUAUGUUACAUUUUUUGAAAGAAGAAAUCUAUAUUUUCAUAAUUGCGGCUCAAACCUAAAAUAUCAAAUAAAUUUGUUCCUAUUUAAACGUUCCUAUAAUUUGGUCACCUCAUGUACGCCACCACCAAUGCAAACAUGGGACGACAUGUGUUCAUCUACACCAAAAAUGGUUUGUUAUAAUUUAUAAGACUAUGGAGAAGUGGAGGAAGAGAAUAUUCUGAUUUGGUCACCUCGUAAACGAGGAUUGAUCAUGAAAGUUGAUUGAAGUAGAAAAUCCGGAGGCAGUCUACACUUUUUGGCACCAAGAUUUCAUUUUGUAUAUAAAAAAAAUUAGAAGAUUUUAAAAUUAGUAAGAAUAACGAGCCUAUUUGGCUAUUUCCUAUCACAACCUGUGGCUUACUAGUAUUGCAUUAAAUAACAAAAGUACUAAGAAAUAUUAAUAAAAAUAUUUUUUAUUUUACGGUCACUCCACCAUUAGAUUAGACCUUACACUCAAAACCAAUGAACCUUGGUCAGACAAAAUGCUAUCAUAGAUCUAGCUAGCUCACAAACUUCUUUUAUGAUAAUUGAUUUUAAGAUUAUUAAAUAUCCUAUAAACUUUUAUUAAGAUAAUAAAUAAGUUUUUGGUAAAUCAAUUUAAUAACUUAAUUUAAAUCAUUAAGUAAAUUAAGUAUGUUUGAUAAUAUAAUUCAAUGAUAUGACUUAAAGUAAAAAACAAUUUUAAGUAAUAAGUAAAAACGAUUAAUUUAUUCUUAAAUUCAUGUAUUUAUUUUAUCUUUUCAUCUUUAUUGUUGCUCAACCUUUUUAUCAUAAUUAUAAUUUAUAAAGAUAAAUAUGUUAAUUUGAUGAUUUAAAAUAAAUUUUAAGUUAAUUUUAUUAAACAAUCUUGAUACUUAAAAUAAGAAUUAAAUAAUAAGUUUUAAGUUAAUAACUUAAAAUCAACUCAAGUUAUUAAGUGAUAAGUAUACAAUUUUACUAAACACCCUCUAAGUUAUCAACUUCUUUUAAAUACUAUUUUUGUAAAUAAUUUAUUUAUUUAUUAUAUAAUUGAAUUUAUUUAUUAUAGUAACAUUAACAAUAUAAAAAACAUGUUAAUAAUAUUUCAGUUCCAUAAAUAUUUAUUUUACAAAAUAUUAGAUAAUACUAUUCUUAAAUUGUGUUUUAAAAAACAGUUACCAAAUAUGGACUAAAUAUCUCCUUUCAAAAUGUGGCUUCCAAUUCUAAAAGCAUAGCAUUGGAAAUUCCUUGACGUAAAUGAAUAAGAAAGUAAAAAUAUAAUAAAUGAUAAAUAAAAAACAUUAUAUUUUCUAAACAUAUCAAAAUUUUCCAUUUUUCUAUUAAUGCUGAUUGCAUACAGGCAUGUGCGUAAUUAAGGGUAGGCGGUAUUCUCCCAACCGCCAUCAUACUCAUACAUUACUUAGCCAUACACUGUCCUCCAGGGUUGCUAUUAUUAACUAUUUCUGGUCAUCACACAUUUACCAGCCAGUGGCAGUGAUGCCAUCGACUAGCAAGUUUGUUGUUGGGAACCAAGACGCUCAUUUUUGAGGUCAUACUCCACGUAAUAAUCCACAUGCUGAGAAUUGCCCAGAAUAAUAGACGGUGCCAGGGUGAUUUCCAAAGUGUUGGUGCCUGCAUCAGAUAAUACAAAUAGAGUUUAAAUAGGUUUACAUCAAAGAAAAAAAAACUAAUUUACUCUACCCUUAAAAAAAGAUAAUAAUUCUAAUACAGUAAAUAAAUAAGUCUAACACUCCAUUUAUUAUAAUUUUUUUUUCUUUUCAUAUUAUAUUCUAUAAGUAUUUUUCCUCACUUAGAACUAAAUAAAAAAAUAUAUCAUUACCAUAAUUCAAAAUCACUUUCUAUUUUAAGUGCUUUUAAAUAUCAUGAUAUCAUAUCUUAUUAAAAAUUAUAUUUUAAAAAUAUUUAUACCAAAUCCAAUGGAAUAUGAUGUAAUAAAAUAUACAUAUCUUUAUUUUAUCCUCUCCCACCUAUCAACGUAAACUUAAUCUCUACUUCAAAGCUUAAAUAACCACAUUCAUAUUCAAACAAUUAUCCAAAAGCUUUUAUGCGUAGUUAUAUAGAAAGCCAACAUUACCCGUCUCUAAUUUAAACCACACAACAAAUAUAAAAAAAGAGCACGAGACCCAAGCUCAAUUUUGUGAGGAUGAGAUAUUUGGCAAACUUUAACUUUAGCAUGGUCAUUUUUUAAUUAAUUCGAGAAAAGAAAGGCUUUUGUCUCCGAAGAAUCGGACAUCAAUAAUUAAUUAUUUUUUCACGUGUUUCACUUAGAGUAGUCGUAGUAGCUUGUUGAAGCUAGCAUAUAAUUGAAUUUGUUGAGUAGCAUCCCUCCACGUGGAAAUGGGGCCCACUUCAAUGAAUUUAAAAAGUAAAUAAAAAACUAUAUACAUAGGAUGAAAAAAGUGAUGUGGGCUAUUUCACAUGUACAAAAACGUGGAAACCUAAGAAAAAGAAAAAGAGAGGAGAGAAAACGAGUGUGGAAAGUGAUGUGAGGUGUGGAUUAUUUGAAAAAGAAAAAGAGAGAAGCGAGAACAAGUGUAGAAAGUGAUGUGAGGCGUGGGUUAUUAUCAUUAUUUUUCGUAGUGAAGAAUUUUAACGGAUUAAGUUUCAUGGCUUUUUUUUUUUCAUAAUAGAGUUUUUUUUUUCAAAAAAUUUGAUGUUUUGAUUUUUUUUGCUUUGUCUUUUUUAUUUUAUCCAAUUUAUCUCUUGAAUAUUUUAUAAUUAUCACAUAUAUUUAAUCACACAAAAAAGAAAAAAAAUUAAUUUUAGAACAAUUAUUAUUUGUACAUUUUUCCCAACAAGAUUAUAUCUUCCAAUACCUCUCAUUAGACAAUUUUUAAUUCCCAAAUCCAAUUUUGGAUCAAAUAAAUGCAGGCUAGCAUAGUAAGGCAAAAAUUUUAAAGAUAUAAAAGGAGAAAAUAAAGUAUAUAUACUAAAGCUUAUUGUUAGCCCAAGGGUUCUCAUAAUCAUAUUUUGAUGAUAACAAAAUAUGAUUAAAUUAUUAAUUAAUUUGAAUUAUAAAAAAUUUCAGGUAUUAAUUUGUAAAUUCAUCAAAGAAUUUAAUGAAUGUGAGAUCAAAACUUUUGAAAAACCUUUUAAUCAUAGGAAACUAUGUAAGAUGAAUGCAUGAGUAUACUUAGGAUUUUCAUAUCAUUUCAUACAUAUUUAAAAAUUCAGUUUAUGCAUUAAAGUUACAUUUCCAUCAAAAUCCAAGUUCUAUCAAAUAAACCUUAGACAAAACGUUUCAAAAUUGACAUAUUAUUUUACAUAAAAACUUUGCUUAAGUGUUAGAAACAAAAAGACCAGAAAAAUAUAGGUUUUCGAGCCAAAUAUGGUAAACUGGUCGAGACAUUGGUCAAUUGGCGCAACCGGCUAGAGUAUCGGUCACUCAUUCCUGAUCAAGGUUCAGUCAAGAGAUGCAAAAAACAUUUUAUCUCUUCCAAUAGCCCUUCUUUCCCGGUCGAAGGAUAUGUCUUCUCGGUCGAGGUCCAGUAAAAGGUAAUGAUCACUUAUCAAGCAUUUAAUGUUCCAACGACUAGUAAACUAGCUAACCCUUAGCUCGAUCGAUCGAUUUUUUUUUUUUGCUUUUUGGCUCUGAAUGUUAUAAACCUAUAAAUUAAGAGAUCCACUUCAUUUAUAAGUAAGAGAACACCUACAUUUAUUUAUUUACCUACUUGUUUUUGCCAUAAAAGCUCUUAUUAUUUUCUUGGUGCAUUAAAUCUCCAUCUCCAUUUCCAUAUUCUUUGGUGCACCUUUGUGAUUCAUCCUAGUCUUGAGUUGUAUUUGAGUCAUUGUUGAGAGAUUCAAACUUGUUAAUUAAGUGUUAAAACUUUCAAGUGAGUAGAGACUUAAAGAGGUUAUGUAAGAACUCAUUGGAGCCGAAAUCCAAGAGUAAAAAGUGAUUAGAAGUUUAGUUGAAACUUUAAGUAUAAGUGAAACCCUCACUCGAUUAGGAGUUUGAGGAGAGUGGAUAUAGGUAAAGAAGUACUGAAUCACAAUAAAUUUGAGUUUGUUUUUUAUAACCUUAUAUCUUUAUUUUUUUGCUUCUUGUGUUUAAUUUUAUUGUGUUUAAAAAUAUUUUUUUUUUAAACUCCAAUUCACCCCCUCUUGGAUGUUUUUAUCUAUUUAGAUUAGCAAUUUAUUUUCUCACUUACAAUUAUUUUUUAUGUUUAAAAAUUCAGUAUUAUGUUUAAGCAUGAACAAAUCUUCCCCAUACUUAUUUAUAUAAGUUAAAGUUUAUUUUAAUUUAUUUAUUUUAGAAUGAAAAUGAAAACAUUUCAUUUAUACACAAUUAAUUGUAAAUGUAUAUAAGUCAAAUCUUAAUUACCCCCUUGAUCUUGUAGUCAAUGUGUGGAAUCCAUUUCACAAAUACCACAGGAUUUGUGUUGAUUGACGAUUGGGAGGCUUAUGUUAUAUUGAAUAUGAAAGUUAUGUUUAGUUUUUGAAAAAUAACAAGGAAAGAAAAAAAAAGGUAUUAAGAAACAUGGUUUUCUCAUUUUUAAUUCUACGGCAAAAAAUAUAUCAAAUAUUUAUAUAUAUAUUUAAAUUAUUUUAUCUUUAAAUAAUAGAGAGAAAUAAGUAAAAUAAGUUUGAAAAAAUAUAUAAAAAUAAUUUAUUAAUUCUAAUUUUUUUUUCACUUUUUUCUACUACUAUUUUCUCAAAUUUAACCAAAACAAUCAUAGUCAACGGAAAUUUGUCCAUAAGGAAUCUUUCUUUUAUUAAAUUACCAGUAAAAUUAAGACAAAUGGCAAACCACCAUAUUUAUAUAACAAUAGCCUCCAUAAUAUGGAUCUUUCUAAAUGAGGCGAGUUUGAGACGAGCCACCCGUCCCAUUUAUUCCAAACAAUUUCUAUUCUUAUCCUAUUAAAAAAGUUAAAUGAGGUGGGGAAAGAUGGGCUAGGGUGGGUAUGCAAAUUUCCCAAACCCGCUCCACCUCACUAUAUUUAACAUUUUUUUUUAAAUAAUAAUUUUUUACAAUUAUGUUUAAUUUUUUUAAUUACAUUAAAAUAAAAAUAUUUUAUAAAUAAUUAAAAUAUUAUAAUUUUUAUAACUUAUUUUAUUGAAAAAUAUUUUUUUUAUUAUAUAUUAAAAAUAGGAAAAUGAAAAUUAAAUUAAAUUAAUUUUAAAAAUUAAUUUUAUAUAUAAUCUAGAUGAUACCGGGCAAGACAAGGUAAUACCAUUUCAAACUGUCUUAGGUUUAAAAAAAAAAAAUCAAACAUGCUCAUAAUUUAUUUAUUUAAAUUUCAAACUCAUCUUAUGGACAUGUAUUUAAAAAAAAUUGUCUCAUUACCAUCCCUAACAAUAAACACUCAAUAUCUCCUUAAUUACAAAUAAAUGGGUACAAUUAUAGCUUCCAAUUCUAAAAAUAUCAACAUGGAAAUUCGUUACAUAACAUCAAUGAAUUCAAAAAGAAAAAAAAUAAUUAUAAAUAAAAAACAUUAUACUUUCUAAGCAUCCCAAAUAUUCCAUUUUUCUAUUAAUGCAUAUUGCAUUAAUAACAACUACUAUAUGGCAUCAAGAUGAAGUGUAAGUGGCACUUGAGUGUAAAAUUUAUAGUUAUGUAAAUAGGAUAAACCGAAGUAGACUUGUAGAACAAAUAAAUUUUAAUUAUUGGUAUUAGACAUAUUUGAUAAUUAUAAUUAUAUUUUUUUAAAAAUAAAAAUAAAAACGUUUUUUCUAAUUAAUAAUAUAAUAAGUAGAUUUUUUUUAAUGAUUUAUCAAUAAUCUUUCUAUGAUUUGCAAUAAUUUUUCAAUAUUUAUAUCACGAGACACUAAUUUUAUUGGUUUAGUCCACAUGAAUAUGACAUGGGUGACUUAUGAAUAUAAUUUCCCAUUUUAAAACCUGUUUAAAAAUUCUGAGAAUAAAUUUUAAAAAAAACCUUUAUUUUCAAAUUUUUGCUAAUAGAACUUCCACAGUAAAAAGUAAAAGAUUAAAGAUGCCAUAAACAUGAUUUAAAAACUUUCAAUUAUAAAAAUAAAAAAGCCGUCAAAAGCGACUAAAUUUAUAUUUAACAAGCUUCUUUUAUUCAAACUGGAGACUGUAAGCACAAAACCUUUCCAGUGGUCCAAUAAUACAAGCAAGCACGUAAUAAAAGGGUAGGCGGUAUUCUCCCAACUGCCGUCACACUCGUACAUUACUUAAGCAUACAAGAUUCUCCUAGGUUGCCAUUAUUAACUAUUUCUGGUCGGCACAUUAUGAAUUGUUUGCCCGGGAAAGUUGAGGUUUUCUAAUAGAAAAUAUCCAGACGAUUCUCCUAUGGCAUACGGAAGACUCUAUUGUGGGCAAUCGUGUGAGCAAUUUUUGGAAUUGCCGUUGCAGCGGGGGCACACAAGGUGAACAUCUGGGGAAAAAAUGCUUACACAUUUGGGAUCUCUGCACCCGAAGAUCUUAUCAGACGACGAAAGUUCGGGAUUGAAGAUUGGGACCUUUUUAGGGUCGGCAUCUGAAAAAGAACAGUUGGUGCAUUUAUAGCGAGUUGUACACGGGGCCCAUACUACAUGACUUCCUGUGUCCACUAUGAAGGAGAGUUUUUGUGGAGGAGUGCCGAAGCUGAGAGAGAUGCUGUGACCUCCAUAACUAUGAGGAAAAAGAGAGAUUUGUCUUAGCGGACUGGUCUUACCAUGUUUCAAGUGAUGGGCUCUGGACAAGGAUGCGUUGGCAAGGUGUUGGAGAAACAGCAAGGGUUCGGUAGAUGGGUUUUUUGUAAAUGUUGACGUUAGAGGGAUGGUAAUGGUGGCAGGUGUGUUAUCUUUGGAGCAAGAUGCCAAGAGAAGGAGAGAUAAUAGAGUAAAGACAGAGAAAAGCAAAGGAGUAGAAGAAGCCAUGGCUGUGUAGCUUAAGAAGCGCACACCAGUGAAAGUGGUAGAGAAAGUCCUUUAUAUAGACAAGGACAUGCGUGGUUUAAUGUUGUUUUUGAAAUUGAGCUUAUUUUUAGAAAAAGAUGAGUUUAAUGUUGUUUUUUGAGAUUAUUUUUUAUCGGACCCUUUUUUUUUUGGAAAAAAAAAAUUAUAAUUAUGCAAAAAGCCAAACAAAUGGAUAAGAAAACAAUGGAGCAACAGCACUUCGUAUUGGAAGAGUGCAUCAGUUGUAAUGUUCUGGAUCCCUUACUAAAAAAAAAUAAAAACAUAUCAUAUCUAAAAUUAUUGGGCAAGAAAGCACCAGAAGCUAAUAGGCCCCACUGGGCCCAAGCCCACCUCUGAAAUUUAGGAAGUGCAUUAAGGAGGUCGGAUAAGUCUUCAAUUCUGAUUUUGGUUUCUCCCUUCAAUCCUCUUUUUGUGUUUUUUUUUCUUUAAUUGUCAUGAGCUUGUCCUAGUUCUAUUUUUCCAGCGCUCACAUGCUUGGGUUUAAUAUCCGAACUCUACCUUUUCCCUUGUGAUCUCAAAUAUCCUUUGAUCGGAGAGAAUCUAGGGGCAAUAAGAAAUGGAUUUGAUUGAACAAAGAUAUUAUUGCCUCUUCCUUGCGGAGACAGCCACACUUACAAACAAAAACAUAAAGGACGGGAUCCAGCUAGUAGGAAUUGCAAUCAUCAAUGAGAUGUUUGUCUUUUUCGUUUUGUUACUUUUCUUUCUUCAAUCUUUUUAAAUAUCACGAGUUGUGUGUGGGAUUGCAGCUGUAAAUAAUGUAGUUUACUGCUCCUUUUGUGGCCAGCUAUGUUUUCUUUGUGAGGUGUGUGUGUUUAGCUAGGUUGAUAAUUUCAGAUAAAAUUUUUAAAUGUCUCCUAAUUCGAUUUAUCAAUUCUUUUUUGGACUAUUUGACUUAAAAAAUUAAUACUUUACUAAAAGAUCGAGAUAUGUAGCCGAGUGAUUGGUGUUUGAAUAUGAAUCAAUCCAGUUUUUAAUCUUUAAAUGUGUUAGAAAGUUAGGAUAAAUGAUUUUUGGUGCAAAGAUUUUAUACACUUGUUUUUGGAUCGAUCCAUGUGUAGGGGCAGAUCGAUCCAACUAACUUGUUUUAAGAUCAAAUCUCAACCAUUAAAUUAAAAGCUUCUUUUUACACUUUAAAAAGUAAUAUUCUCUCAUUUUUUUAUUGAGAGAGAUUGCAGAAAACGUGGGGAGAGUUGCAACCGCUCCAAGUGUUCUUCAUUUUUUCAUCUCUUUUCCUAAUUUGGGGUUUUUGAUUGCAAAGAAAAUCCACUUCUCUUAAUGUUUUCCAAACUAGUUUUUAAUGAAUUUUCUUGAGCAAUAAAUGAGUUGAUUCAUUCUUUCAUUCAUAUUUCAAUCUCUAUUUCUAUUUGGGUUUGUGCAAAAACCCAUUUUCUUCUUGUGUGGAUUCAAAAAGAGGCCGAGAUUGAGCUUGGUGCGGACUCCAAGUGUGCUUCGGAAGAUGAAGGUGAGAAGCUGAAAGUGAAGAUACUAGUCAAGUGGUCCGGGAAUGAUUGGUUGGCUUGAGCUAAGUAAAACCUUGUAUUCGGUUUUUAUUCUUCAUAGUGGAGUGUUUCAAUUGGUGGUAGACCCGUGGUUUUUGAUAUCUUCGAAGGUUUUCUACGUUAAAAUCCGGUGUUAAUUGUCUUUUUCACUCUACACUUGGAUUUAAUUUCUGUUUUUGAUAUCAUUGAUUGUUUGGGCAAACAUGUUGAAUGGAAGAAAUAUGAGGUGAUAUAAGUGUGAUGAUCCAUGGAAUAUCCUUAAUAAUUUUUUUGCUCAUUUUAGUUAAUGAUAUCAUGAAGUAAAUUGAUAUGAGUUGAGGAGAUAAUUGUUCUUUUGAUUUAUUUUUGAGGAUUGUUGAAGUAUUUGCAUGUGUAUUGCAUUUAUAAAUUGUUGGAAGAGUGGUAGUGCAUACAUUCUUGCUUGUGGAAGUAAUUAUACUUUGUUAAAUAAUUGUUGGAAGAUUAGUUUUUUGAUAUUGUGAAAGUCUAAGGUUAGGUAAUCUUUAUUAGGAGAAUUUUUAAAUUGUUUUACAACACUUAUUCAUCCCCCUCUAGGUGUAGUCCAUUAUUGAGAUUCACAUUUUCAAGGUGAUUCUAGCUUGCUGCGUAAACUCCCCCUCUACUCUUAAUAAGAAAAAAAAAAUUAAAAAAUUGAGAGUUAGAUGAAAAAAAAAAUAAAAUAAAGUAAAAAACAAAUAUUGUGAAAGUGAUAAAUUUGUAAUGAAUAAUUUUAUUUAUUUAUUUUAGUUUUGAUUGUACUCUGAAUUAUUCUGUUAUGGCAACUGAAGAAUUAUUUUUUGGGAUUUGAAUUAAAAGAGAUAAAAAAAAUGAAAUGUUUUAAUUAAAAAAAAAAAAUUGUGAAGUGCCUUCCCAUGUUUACAUCAAGUCUCAUGUGGUGGUGCUUUACACUCAUUACACAUGGGUAACUCACUAAUAGCUAUAUUUUUCCUCAAAGAGGAUAUUUGAGGAAAGGUUUCUAGUUAGAAAACUAAGGUUUGUGUGGACCCGUAUUUUUGCUAUAUUUUUCCUCAAAGAGGAUAUUUGAGGAAAGGUUUCUAGUUAGAAAACUAAGGUUUGUGUGGACCCGUAUUAAAAAUACGGGUCCUCACUCGAAUGAGGCUCGUUUUUUAUUUAGUAAAAAAAUGAAUUUAAAAAAAAAAAAAAAAAAAAACAAAAUUAUUAAAAAAACAUUGUGUGACUCAUUAUUUGAAAAAUACGUGUCUAUAAAAAUCGAGUUCAAAUCUGAUGAUCAAAUUACUUAUUGAGAAGGUACGGUAAUGAGUUGUAGUAUCCUUCAAGCCCAUAUACAUACAAUCUCAUCUAAAAAAAUAAAAUGAACUAUGAUAAUUAAUUAAUUAAUUAAUCAUAAAUAUCAACAAAAAAAAUCAUACAAAUCAAUAUACAAUAAAAUAAUGAUAGAAGCAAAUUACAAGAAUGUACAUGGUAAAUGACAUAAAAAUAUGAAUUUGUAUUUUUUAAAAUUAUUAUAAAUAAUAAAAAUUUAUUUAAAAAAAAAAAGUUUUGAUGUUGUUAUUAUUAAAUAAAAUAAAAUAAUAACAGUUCAAAAAAAAAAAAAAACACUGACAUUUACAUCAACAAACCAAAUAAUAAAAAACAUAUAUACAAAAAUAAUAAACAUAAAUAAAAGCCAAUGUAUACAAAAAUAAAUAAAUAAAAAGGAAGAUAGGGAUAAAUGUACAACUUUACAAUGUAAUUCCGUUAACAUUGGCUCUCCAUAGCUUCUCAAACAAAGCUCAAAAAAUAUAAACCAAAAUCUUUCAACCUCACUGCACAUAGAAACUCAAAAAAAUACAAAGACAAAGAGCAUUCAAAGUCCUCCCAUUUUCCUUUUUUGUUUCCAUCUUUCUUUUUAAUCGAAACAUUUCGGUCCUCAGUUAGCCUUCUUCCCAUAACAUUGCACCAAUUGCUCCAACUGCCCCAAACUAACAUUGCACCGCUCUUCCCACUCUUAGCAACAACCAAAAGAAAUUCCAACUCAAACAUCAAGAAAAAUGAAUAAGUAGAAUAUAUAUGUCCAAGCCCAAUAAGAAUAAAAAAGAAAAUCCAAAUGCAAUUGAACCCAAAGAGCAAGUCUAACACAAACAAUAAGCCCAAAUCUCAAAUCAGAAACUUAGCCCAAAUACAAUAAGAAUUAAAGCCCAAGAUUAGUCCCAAAGCCAUCAACAAAUACUGUGUAGAUCAAGAAGUGAAAUGUCCCGCAAAAAACCCUUAAAACUCAACCAAAUGAACAUAUCCAAAAUCAAAUAGAUCAAUCUUAUCAAAUCCAAAACAUAAAAUAAAUAAACAAAAACAAAAACAAGUAAACAGAGAGACCAAAGGAAAAAUAAAAUAAAACCUAAAAAUUUAUUAGACAUUAAUAAGCUGAGGUAGUGAAAUCAUAAAGGAAAAGAAGUGGACAUGGUGAUUGAGCGGCAAGGAGAAAGGCGAUUGCAACAUCAGUAAUAGCAAGGUGUGUGGCCAAAGGUCAGUGGCUAGUUGUAGCCAGAUUUAGUGUUAAUGGUGGAAGAUAAAGAAAGAAGACGAGGGAAAGAGAAAGAGGGAAAUGAGAUAGAGAGAGAGAGAGAGAGAGAGAAAGUAAGAGAUGUUGGAACUUCAUUUUGCUUGUAUCCAAUUAUUAGACAGGAAUCGCAUGUUGAAUCAUAUGAAGAAAUUAUGCCAAACGUUUCUAUAGAAAGGGAACAUACAGAAUCUGAACUAACCUGAAUCCAUUUUGAGUGUUGAAUGAACAAGGUAUGGAUCUUCUAAGGUUGUGGAGGGCACCACCUCUUUUUGGAUUCUCUCUGACGAUGGGAGCAGAAGAGAAAACGAGUAUGUUCUUAUUUCAAAUGAUGUGAUUAGAUUGAACAGACACUUAGCCUUUGGUUUUAUACCCUCCCGCCUUAGGGACCAUACCCUUUGACUAUUGGGUCUCACGAGUCUUAGGCCCAUCAUCUAAGGCCCGUGAUGACAAUAAGCUCUACACAUAAGGUGGCCCAUACUAUGGAAAACUGAUAUAAAAUAAAUAUCAAAUAAAAAUAAAAUAGAUAAUAAAAAGUAAAAUAAUGAAAAUAAUAAUAAUAAUAAAAAUAAAUGGGACAAUUUCAAGGUCUACAAUUGAUAUGGUAACCAUUUUUAAAAAAUUUUCUCUAAUAUUUUUUAAAACAAAUAUUAGUUUGAGAAUCUAAAAUAUUUUCAAAAUAUUUUUAAUGUUUUUAAAUAUGUUUUAAAAAUAAUUUUUCUAAUGUUUUUAUUUUUAAUAAUUCUAUAUGUUAAUAUAAUUAUUAUUUAAAAUAACUCUAAAAGAAUAAGUGAAUACAGUCAAAAGAUGUUCUCUAAAAAUACUAUAUUUUUUGUUUUUAAGAAUAAAAAAUACAAAACAAUUAUCUAGUUGUGUGGACUCGCAUUUUUCAUAUGUAUUUCCAUUAUAAUCGUUUUUAUUGUAAAAAAAUAAUUUACUGAAAAUUAAAGUCGAUAGCUAUUUUUGUUUAUUUUUAAAAGAGAAAAUAAAAUAAAAAAUAAAAUUAUAUUGUAACUUCUUUUUGAAAAAAAAGAUAGAUCUAAAAAAAAUAAAGUCCGAAUUUAAGGUGAGGUUAUUUAUUGAAAAUGUAUCAUCUAAAGAAAUAUUUUCUAAAUAAGUGGGAUUGUGAUGAUUAAUUUAUUAAUUAUAAAUAAAUAAAAAUGUCAUAAAUAUGUACAUGCGUGUCAAUGAAAAAAGCAUAUUGCAAGAAUCCGAAAUGAAUGACAAAAUAAAUACACAAAGUGAAUUAUUAAAAUGAUUUUUUGUUGGACUCUAGUUUCAAAACUAUAAUCAUUUUUGUUAUUUUAUGACUAAUAUUGUAAGCUAAAAAUUAUAAUUAUGAAAAGGACCAUAAUUAGAUGAGAUUCUGCUUACUCAUUAAUCACUUUGCUUCCUUUUUUUAUUUGGUUCUUAUUUUGUUUUUUUGUAUAUAUUAGUUGGUAGAAAGCAUUCUGCUAAAUCAUUAAUGGUUCUUGUGAUGUCAAAAGAUGUACCUGAUUAUAUACAAAGCUGAGAAAAAAAGGGAGUGACCUCUAUAUUUGUGAGGAAAGAUUUGCAGUCUCCACAAGAGGGCUGCUCUUACGGCCAUAUUUGAUCAAGCGAUGAAGUAGGGUUAAUGGCGAAGAGGCGAGGUUAUGAUUAGGUUCGGAAGCUGGGUCGCGGGUGAAUAGUGGUGUCAGAAGGAUACUAUUGGUGGUGGGUUUCUCAUCUUUGGAUGAAGAUGCCAAGCAUAUGAGAGAGGAGAGUUAAAAGGAAAAAAAAAAAAAAAAAAAAAGGAAGACGAAGAAAAAGCCCAGAAGAAUAAGCCAUGGCCGGCCCUCAAUUAAUUAUCACUGCGUCCACUGCAUGUCUUAAGAUGGGUGGACCAAUCGUUUAUGUAGAGAAGCAUGCAUGAGACAGAGGUAGGCAGGAACACAAGCGCUACUACAUUAGCUACAAUUGCCCUUGUAUUGAAGGGAAGUUAUAAAGUUACCAUUCUGCAUCCACAUAAAAUUAAAUCAUCUCUUGAUGUUGGUUGGGAAACACUCCCAUUUGUGUUCUUUAGUGAUUUUAUCCCCUAAUAAUGUUUUUGUUCUUUUUUUUGGAAUAUGCUAUGGUAGGAAAAUGUCACUUAUAGAAUAAGAAAUUUGAAAUAUAAAUAUAUGGUGAGAUCUAAUUGAUUAGGAUAGUCUAGUUGAUCGGAACGAACAUUGAAAAGUAUGAUUCUAAUAAGUGACACAUUAUCUUGAACAAUUAUAAUUUUAUCAUUGAUGAUAUUUUGAAUUUACUUGUUAGUUAUUACGAAAUGGUUCAUACAUAUAGGUUUGUAUCUAAUGGGGUAUAUAUAGAGUUUAAUAAAAAUAGAAGUGGAUGAAAUCUUAAAAAAAAAAAAAAUUAAGAAAAAAUAAAAAUAAAAAAUAAAAAAGGGUAAAAGGGCAAACCGUACGAAUAAAUAGUAAAACUAGGGAAUAAAAAUGAGAUUAGAAAACGUAUACUUAACACCACCUUUUUGCUCUACUCAAUAUUAUCCUACAAAGGAUAUUGGAAUUUGAAAAGCAUCCGAGGUGGAAGCCACUGAUAGUUUAGUCAAAGCUAAUCAACUCCAAUGAGUACAUGUACGCCCACUCAAGAGGGAUUUUGAAAAAAAUAUAGUAAUUUAAAAUAAUAUCUUUUAAAAUAUAAUAAUUCAAAAAACAUUUCUAAAUUUAGAACACUUUGAACUAAUCCAAUUAAAAAUUGUCUAAAAGACAAUCUGCAUAUUUACAUUGAAGUUAUCUUUUUUUAAAAAUAAAAAAAAAAUCAAUUGAUAUCAUAAAAAAUGUCUUAAUAAAUAUUUUUAGAAAUAAUAUUUUGUCAAAAAAAUAUAUAAUAAAUACCAUUAAUAAAAAACGUUCCCUAUAACAAAGACCACAUACUGCUUAGGAUGGGAGGAGGAUAUAUGGCAUGGCAAUGGUUUAGUAGAGGAGCGACCACUACCAAAAUCUUCUUUAACUUAUUACGGAUGCGAUGUCUCGCCCUUUUCCAUCUAGCACUACUGCCCAGUCUGCCCUUCUCACAUCAAUUGUUUUCGUUCCUAGGCAAUCCAUUUGCCACAUCAUAAUAGUAACCAGUCUUUUCAUAAAGUUGCCUACUUUUUCUCUUCAGGACAUUCUAAUCUCAAAUAGAAAAUUGGAUUUUGCUUGUGGCUUUUUUAUUAUCUAAUCUGGGGGGUCAUCAUUGGAAUAAGGAGUCCAAGUUAGAUUGUCCCGUCAUUAUAUUUUGGAUGCAGAUUCUUAUCUUCCAUUUUUUGGGCUUUUUAUCACUUACAAUCGAGUACGUGUCCCCACUCAGAAUGACAUUUAAUUAUUUGAAAGAACUUUUAAGAAUCAUUUUUAUAUUCCAUAAUGUAUGUACUAAUAUUUUAAUACAACAGAAGUUAUAUCAGUAGAAAAAGACAAAAGUAGUGUCAUUUCAGUUUAUUAAAGUGAAUAUGUACUUGGUCAAAAAUGGGAAAUCGCAAUCUACACCUUUAGAGACUUCAACUUCUAAGCAAUCCAAGCAUGGGAAAAAGUAGCGAUUCACCUGUCAACGAUGCUUGCCGAAGGUUGAUUACAUCGACGGUUAGUUGGUUAUUGGGUGGAGUGACCACGUAGCUACGUAGCACAGGUCAACAAGUGAAUAUGCUAAUUUAUUAAAAAAAAAAAUCUACUAAAAUUUCGGAAAGUAAAAAGUAAAAAUAUGUCAUGAACAUGAUUUAAAAAAAUUAAUUUAUAAUUUUUUAAUCAUAAAAAUAAAAAUGCCAUCAAAAGUGCCAAAAUUUAUAUUUAAGAGGCUUCUUUUAUUUAGACUGGAAAGCGUAAACACAAAGCCUUUCCAGUGGUCCAACAAUAAAGGCAUUUACGUAGUUAAGGGUAGGCGGUAGUCUCCCAACCACCGUCACACUCGUACAUUACUUAACCAUACAGGGUCAUUUCUGGCCAGCAGACAUCUACAGCCAGUGGCAGUGAUGUCCUAGCCUAGCAAGUUUGUUGUCGGAAACCAAGACGCUCAUUUUUGAGGUCAAACUCCACAUAAUGAUCCACCUGCUGAUAAUUCCCCAGAAUAAUAGACGGUCCCGGAGUGAAUUCCAAAUUGUUGGUAGGCGAAUCAGUGGUGACGGGGAAACAACCCAAGCUUGCCUCAGAAAAAAGCAAAAAAUAAUUCAUUCCUGGCACCACCAUAUUUGCGCCACCUGUAAAUUGGUAAAUUAAGUCGGGGAUUUUUAUGGAUUUGUGGCCUGUGAAAUUAUAACAAGGCGUCAGACCGGACUGGGUUUCUGCCUCGAGAGAUCUCCUAUACUUGGACAUCUGCUUUUUCAGUUCAUUUGUCACUAUCUUAAAAACCGGUAGUGUCAUGUAGCCGUACGCGAAACCAGAAUCUAUCAUGACACCACCUCGGCUGUCAGAUCCUGGAGUCAGAUACUUGCCUGGAAUCCUGAGGAGCUUGUUUCCGAU
rnacentral:lncRNA from 1 species